AUACGUAGGGGGCAAGCGUUAUCCGGAUUUACUGGGUGUAAAGGGAGCGUAGACGGUAAAGCAAGUCUGAAGUGAAAGCUCGGGGCUCAACCCCGGAACUGCUUUGGAAACUGUUUUACUGGAGUGCAGGAGAGGUAAGCGGAAUUCCUAGUGUAGCGGUGAAAUGCGUAGAUAUUAGGAGGAACACCAGAGGCGAAGGCGGCUUACUGGACUGUAACUGACGUUGAGGCUCGAAGGCGUGGGGAGCAAACAGGAUUAGAUACCCUGGUAGUCCACGCGGUAAACGAUGAUCACUAGGUGUCGGCGGCCAUAGGCGGUCGGUGCCGCAGCAAACGCAAUAAGUGAUCCACCUGGGGAGUACGUUCGCAAGAAUGAAACUCAAAGGAAUUGACGGGG
rnacentral:rRNA from 1 species